CUGUGGCCUUUCAGGGGGAGUAGGCGGAUGUCAGUGCGGCCAUUCCCCGCCUGUCCCUAACUUUUUAAUCCUUCCUUUUAUUUUGACCUUGCACUCCUUCCAUGGAACACCUCUGGGUAGCCACGGGGAGGUGUGAAUGGCUCGGGAUGGAAACCACAGCUUUUCAGUGCACCCUCUGCCAGGCUUUUCUGGCGCCCGAGGAAGCCCAGCCCCCGCCUGCUCCCAAGCGAAAGGGAUAUUACCGGCUGCUCGGUGAGAAAACAAAUUCGCACAGAUACAGGAAAGUGUGUUAAGGUAGUGGGAAGCAACGGGAGUGAGAUUCCUGGCAGCUCGGUCAGUAAAGAGUCACGCGGAUUCUGAGACUGGAGUUUGUGGACCAGAGGCUGAGAGGUGACACACAGCAAAGACAUCUGACCCCUUUGUGCAGCAAGACAGCCAGGCUGGGAGCAGCAAGCUGCCUUCAGAGUUUCCAACUUUUCCUGCAUACAGAAAGCUUUGCAGAAAAAAUGAGAGAGGGAGAAAUGCCACAACAUAGCUGCACGUGGCUGCCCAAAGAGGUGGGAGCUUCACCAGAUCUUCUCGGAGGGACCAGGGAGGAUGGUCCAUUUGCUGGAUGAUGCCUGUCACGUAUUUCAAGCCCCAGCUGCCAGUGCUAUGCUUGGGCCCUUGGUCCAUGGAGAGGUAGGCUUUUGGCUGAGAAACAAAAGCAAAGCCUGGGGUAAUUGGUAUCAAAGUAGAGCUAAUCUUGCUCCUUACAAGAGCGGGGAUGUUUGGCCUCCUUGUCUAGGCUGUCUUACAGCACAUCAGCACUGAUGGGUUGCUGUGAUGCCCUGCUCCAUGGUACAGAUCCUUCGAUGUUGCCAAGCCCAAGUGGUCUUGAGGAUCAACAACACGGCUGUUUCUCCUUACACAUUUGCUUCCUGUAAGGGGAUAAGAGGCAUUGCACGUAUGUGAAACAUUGAUUGCUGGCUGCUGGAAUUGUGAGAAGAGGAAGGCUACUGCUCCUACUGAUUCCUACUUUUUUUUUCUUAAAGACUCUGCUCCAUAGAUCAAGUGGUUAUAAGAGAAUCAGUUAAGAAAAGCAUGCUUUUCCUGCUAGCUAGUGCAGAGAAAAACAGGAAAAUCUGAGCAUGAACCAAAGACUAAAGAAUAAAAAGGCAAACACACAAAAUUCAACAUGAUUUGUUUUAAUUUUUAAAACUGUGUUCUUUAGGUGACUGACAAAAUUUUGGAAACCAGCUUUCAAAUGUUUGGGAUUAGCUCUUCUGGAAAGAAGAGGACGUUGGCCUCUUGGGAGAUGCCAAGACCCCAGCUCUACAGGGGAGGUGUUACUGGGCACAUACCUAGAACUUAACAGGGUGUUUGGGACCACCUUCGGGAGUGUCAGAGCAGUUUUUCUCUUUCAGCUCUGCUGCAUAUGUCUGGUCCAGCUGGAUAAUAGGUCCAGCUGUGACUCCUAGCAGCAGGAAACUCUCCCUUUCAAUGGCUACAUGAUAUCCUGUGUGAAAUGAGAGUUCAGCCAAUGGUACAGCUACUUCUUAGUGGACAAGCCUCCAUAUAAUGUAAUUUCUGCAGUAAUGGGUGUCAUCCUGUCUGUCAUGACCAUUCUCUCUGCCAGCCCAACAGACAGGACUGAAAUUACCUGGAAAUAAACUUCUCCAUCAAAGUGUCCUUCCAACAGAAGCUUUGCACUGCCUUGCAAAAACAGCACAUGCACAACCUGUACCACUUUGUUUCUUGCUGUAGGUUAUCUGUGGAUGGAUAAGAUCUACCUCCAGACCAACAAAAUGAGAAUUGCUAGAUAUAUUAAAAAAAAAGUAAUAAAUAAAAAGUCUUCUGACUCCAAAAUUCACUGUCUUUCAGAUUGUGUAGAUCUAGCUGAGAAAUUUUACCACUAGUGGUUACUGAAGUGUUGUCCCACCAGCAGUGUCAGGAUGCUGGGUGGAGAUGUGCAGCUCCUUCCAAGUUCAGAUGUGUUCAAGAUGCAUGGCUCAAAGACUGACAGUUUGCCACCUCUAAUGUCGAUGAUGGAUCAAAACUCCACAGAUUCAAGCUGGGGUAGAUAUGACAGUGUUUGUUGCAAAUGCAGCUGUUCGAAUAUGCAAACCAGAAUUUCUAAAUGCCACUGAAAUGGUGGAGACUCAUUGAGGAACAGGUGUGGGGGUGGUGAAUGGCAAAGGCUCUUUUGGUGACACUGUUCAAAAGAGCAAGUCUGUUGACAAAGGGAGGGUCCCACGGUCACCUCCAACGGUAUAAGCAGAAUGAAAAGCAGCAGCAGCAAAAGCCAGUGAUGCACCAAAAGUUGUGUCCAGGCUCAAUCAGACCAAUGCAAAUAGCUGCACUGGUGAAUGAAUAUACCAAUCUAAGCCACGUUUCUUGAAGCAGCUGAACCCUCAGCCGCAAAGCUUGUCCCAGGAAGAAAGGCUGUUGCAAUGAUGCUGUGGAAGGUGAUAUCUCUACCUUACAGCUGAGCCAGGUUAUGGCCAGUUUGCAUUUGUGAACUGCAUGCUUUUCCACCUCUCUUUAGUACCAGAAAAAGCAAAACUCAGGUGUUCUUGUGCAUGUGUGCACUGGUGAUCACAUGUACUAGAUUAGGGAAAGUGUCCAUGUUUGUAUGUGUGCGUGUGUUUGUGCUGGCCUAAGGAACUGUAUACAUGCAUGAGAACAAGUGCUAGUGAACAUGCAAACAGUGGCCAUCAUGUGGCUGCUUGUGAACAUCCUGGGCUAGAGAAAAGCAGCAUGUGCUGGAGAGGGUGCGGAUUGCACAAGGAGAGGUGGGGCUGGGCGAGGGCUCGCUGAUGCCAGCCAUGGAAAGUGUGGGGCUGUGGCAGUGGGAAGGCAGCAGAGCAGGGAUCUGCACACCAGCCCCCAUGGCAGCAGGCAGGAAGGGCAAGACAGCGUAUGGUGCACCCUGCUGCUGGAGGGGAGAUGCAGGAAGGACUUUCCCAGACUGUUUAUAGACCACAGUGUGGCUCAGCAAAGAGUUAACAUGGUAAAGAAGAGUCUAGAAAGGCUCCUACCAGCUAUAAACAGUGAUCAGCAUACACAGGAUGUGGCAAGUAGCUAAAGGUGUCCCAUUAUUAACUUCACUUUUAUUUUAAGGGGAUUCACUUCUCUGUUCUGUUUCCCACUUGGGAAGUGAAACCUAAGAUCAUGUUAACAUUAAAAAAAAAUUGGUCACA